ACACAAUAGCCAUAUUUUUCUCCAAAUGACUGAAAUUCAUUGAUACAAUUUUGUGUGUUAGAGGGCAAAGGAUAUGUUAGGGAUGGAAUCUGGGUUUUACUGCCUGUCAUCAGUUUUAGGCCUUUUCCUGAGCCUGGGAAAAGAUCAUAGAUCAUGUGUUGCAUAAACCUGAAUUGCAGUAAAGACAAGGAGGAAGACGAGGUGAAGUGUCUCCUUAAAAACACACACCAACAUACAAUGGAAGCAAAACAAGUUACAGGGCCCUGUACAGAAGCAAGCUGUUUUCCUGUCUGUGAAGCCUAGAGAUUUGCCAUAAUAUAAUCACUCAUUGCACCAGCUUCACCCAAGACUAAGAUGUUUGAGAAACUUGAUAUGUUUGAGCCACCUUGGGCAUUGUUGAGGGGAAGACAGGGUAGCCACAUAGACCUGUCGGCAUAAAAAAGACUUCAAGAGACACCUGAAAGUCAAAAGGGGGAUGCCUGCUGAAUCUCUUCUUGGAAGAGUGUAUUUAUUGUUGCGCGCCUCACCCAAUCUCUCAGCGGUGAGAUUUCGGGGGUCCCUGUGCCCCUCCAGGGUUUGGUUUCCUUUGGGAAGAAGUUCAGCGGAGACUGCGGUGUCUUUAUGAAAUAUGGUUUGUUUAUUUACACACAUUCCAACCUGAGCUUCAGAAUGGAGGGGUUCAAGGCAUCAGCAGUCCCAUAUCCAGCUCUUCAAUCUAGGUUGCAGGAGGCAUCCUAUAACCAUGAUGCAGGGAGCCAGUCUAUCUCUACCCUGCCUUCCAGUUCCCAGCAAUUCUCUAGCCACACUAAAAACUACAAGCACACACCUUCUGCUAUCUGCCAGGAGUGGGAGGAAGGCUCUCCUGUAGAGUUUAAAAUGACAAAAGGGGUCUUCCUGGCCCAUUCUCCGUUGCUAGGCAACUGAUCGGCCCAUUAUCUUACCUGGCCAAUCUAUUUGGUUAACAAAAGACUCAUUUGACCAGCAGAGAGUUCCUCAUUCCAAGGCACAAGAUUCCAAAUCAGAGGCUGGAAAGGUGACCCAUAGAAAUCAUCCAUUCCAACCCCUCAUGCUCAUAACACUAUUUAUAAAUAUAUUUGUG